GACGAACGCUGGCGGCGUGCUUAACACAUGCAAGUCGAACGGAAAGGCACCAUUGGGGGUAAUCGAGUGGAGAACGGGUGAGAAACACGUGAGAAACCUGCCCUUGACUUCGGGAUAACUUCAGGUAACAGGGGCUAAUAACGGAUAGGAAUCCUUGCUGCAUGGUGGGGGAUGGAACGCUUCGGCGGUUUUGGGCUGACUAGCGGCUUAUGAGCUUGUCGGUGGGAUUGUGGCUUGCCAAGGCUUUGACGGGUAGCAGGCCAUUGAGGCCGAGCGGACACAUUAAGACUGAGGUGCGGCACAGGCACCGACGGUAGGCAGCAGUGGGGAAUAUUGCAGAAGGAGCGGAGGCCGGAUGCAGCAACGCCGCGUACGGGAUAACGGCCUUCGUGUUGUAGACCGCUGUCAGCAGUAACGAAUCUUGUGGUGACGGUACCUACAGAAGAAGCACCGGCUAACUACGUG
rnacentral:rRNA from 1 species